AGUCGAACGAACGAGGAUUGGAUUUAUUCGAUCCAAGUUAGUGGCGGACGGGUGAGUAACACGUGAGCAAUCUACCUUUAGGAGGGGGAUACCGAUUGGAAACGAUCGUUAAUACCGCAUAACAUAGAGGUAUCGCAUGAUAUUUUUAUCAAAGAUUUAUCGCCUAAAGAUGAGCUCGCGUCUGAUUAGCUAGUUGGUGAGGUAACGGCCCACCAAGGCGACGAUCAGUAGCCGGACUGAGAGGUUGAACGGCCACAUUGGGACUGAGACACGGCCCAGACUCCUACGGGAGGCAGCAGUGGGGAAUAUUGCACAAUGGGCGCAAGCCUGAUGCAGCAAUGCCGCGUGAGGGAAGAAGGUUUUCGGAUUGUAAACCUCUGUUGACAGGGAAGAUAAUGACUGUACCUGUUCAGAAAGCUCCGGCUAACUACGUGCCAGCAGCCGCGGUAAUACGUAGGGAGCGAGCGUUGUCCGGAAUUACUGGGUGUAAAGGGAGUGCAGGCGGGACUGCAAGUCAGAUGUGAAAUGUAGGGGCUCAACCCCUGAGCUGCAUUUGAACACUGUAGUUCUUGAGUGAAGUAGAGGUAAGCGGAAUUCCUAGUGUAGCGGUGAAAUGCGUAGAUAUUAGGAGGAACAUCAGUGGCGAAGGCGGCUUACUGGGCCUUUAAACUGACGCUGGAAGGCUCGAAAGCGUGGGGGAGCAAACAGGGAUUUAGAUACCCUGGUAGUCCACGCCGUUAAACGAUGAUUACUAAGGUGUGGGGGGGACUGACCCCUUCCGUGCCGCAGUUAACACAAUAAGUAAUCCACCUGGGGAGUACGGUCGCAAGACUGAAACUCAAAGGAAUUGACGGGGGCCCGCACAAGCAGUGGAGUAUGUGGAUUAAUUCGACGCAACGCGAAGAACCUUACCAAGUCUUGACAUCUUGAGCAUAGCAUAGAGAUAUGUGAAAUCCCUUCGGGGACUCAGAGACAGGUGGUGCAUGGUUGUCGUCAGCUCGUGUCGUGAGAUGUUGGGUUAAGUCCCGCAACGAGCGCAACCCUUACUGUUAGUUGCUACGCAAGAGCACUCUAGCAGGACUGCCGUUGACAAAACGGAGGAAGGUGGGGAUGACGUCAAAUCAUCAUGCCCCUUAUGACUUGGGCCUCACACGUACUACAAUGGCUGUCAACAGAGGGAAGCGAAGCGGUGACGCGGAGCAAAACCCCAAAAGCAGUCUUAGUUCGGAUUGUAGGCUGCAACCCGCCUACAUGAAGUCGGAAUUGCUAGUAAUCGCGGAUCAGCAUGCCGCGGUGAAUACGUUCCCGGGCCUUGUACACACCGCCCGUCACACCAUGGGAGUUGGUAACACCCGAAGUCAGUAGCCUAACCGCAAGGAGGGCGCUGCCGAAG
rnacentral:rRNA from 1 species